CUCCUCCUUCUCCCCGACUCCUCCUCCUUCACCUCCUCCUUGUCCUCCUCCCUCUCCGCCUCCUCAUCCCCCUCCUCCUCUUCCUAAUUCUCCUCCUCUGCCUCCUCCUUGUCCUCUCCCUCCCCCUUGUCCUCCUCGUCUUCCUUUUCUUCCUCCUCUUCUGUCCCAGGGCUUUCAAACUCUGGCUCUCCAACGACAUGGAAGAGUUAAAAGGAGGAACGCUGGCUCAGCCAAGCCCCGGAGACUCCUACUUGAUAUGGGCAGUUUAAAGCCACUUUCCCUUUAAAUUUUUCUGUGACAACUCUUUUCAUGGAGAAUGGAAAGACUCUCGUUAAGUGUUGCCGUUCAGAAGUGUUGGCGGUCGUUGCUAACAUGAGAUCCAACAAGAAAUGGUGAAAAUGCACAAUGCCUCAGGACGCCUUGAGGAAGGAGCAGCAUGUUGCUGCCGAGGGUGAACACACGUGGUCUCUGCGGAGAGGCGACAGAUCUCCCUGGGCGUCAGUCAUCCUGGGACUGGGUGUCGUGGAAGAAGGUGACACCAGGCAGAAACCAAGAGCAGGGGAGCUGCAGGCCGGCAUAAGAGCCCGUAUCAGAGCAGAGUGGCCCCUGAGCGGGGAGGGAGCCGGAGAUCACUGUUGGAGGAGGGCCCGGCACCUGCACCUGAGGACAUGAGUCUAAUAAAAGAGUAUAAAUAAUAUAAUAAAAGAGAGUAUAAUAAAAAAAUAAUUUAAAGAAAAUAGAGCUUGAUAAAUCUGUUUCUUCAUCUUCAUAAUAAUGUCAAAUUUGUUGAGAUUUUUUUUAAAUGGCACGAUUUGUCUACAGAUCUUUGUACUCUGUCUGGCUUAAAUAUAUAUACAACUUAUAUAAUAAAAUACUG
rnacentral:lncRNA from 1 species